UCUCCAAGCAACUGCAAGCAGCCUGAACUCAUAUCAAAAACAGAAGAAGACCAUUACCCAGCAGAGAGUCGCAAGUCCACCCGCAAAUUCCAUAUUCUCGACGAACCAAGCGCCAGCGAUUUCACGGUCUCCUUUGCCUUCUCCUCCUCUUCCUUUCAUGUGUUUCCGGUCCAAAUAGCAGGUUCCUGAUUUGGAGGACGACGACGAGCUCCGAGCACAAGCCCUUCCGUCCGAUACUCUCCAGUUCCACCUCGAUUUCUCCCUCAUAGCUAGUGUACUGCGCUCUAUUUCUCCUUCGACCUCAUCCUGUAUUGGAGCGGCCUUGGGUCAUGGAUUGAGCGGGCUGAGUGAAGCUCAGGGUGUUCUUAUCGUCGUGUCUGACUAUACUUUUUGGCGGGAGACGAGAGAUCUGUGCUGCGACCAGGUAGAAAUGGCGUCGGGGAAUGUCAGGGUAGAGGGCCGAGCUGAUGUUGAAACUGCGCUCUACAAUGAGCUCUGGCAAGCCUGCGCUGGUCCUCUCGUCGCCGUCCCUCGUCAAGGCGAGCGUGUUUUCUAUUUUCCCCAGGGCCACAUCGAGCAGGUCGAGGCCUCCACCAAUCAGGUCGCCAACCAGCAGAUGCCCCUCUAUAAUCUUCCCUCAAAGAUCCUUUGUCGUGUCAUCAACGUCCAAUUGAAGGCUGAACCAGACACUGAUGAGGUGUUUGCGCAAAUAACCUUGCUUCCCGAGGCAAACCAAGAUGAGAACUCCCUGGACAAGGAACCUCCUCCUCCCCCUCCUCCAAGAUUUAAGGUGCAUUCUUUCUGCAAGACCUUGACUGCCUCGGACACCAGCACUCAUGGUGGAUUCUCAGUGUUGAGACGUCAUGCGGAUGAAUGCCUUCCACCCCUGGACAUGUCCAAGCAACCUCCUACACAAGAACUGGCUGCCAAGGAUUUGCAUGGGAAUGAAUGGCGUUUUCGGCACAUAUUCCGGGGUCAGCCAAGGAGGCACCUACUGCAAAGUGGUUGGAGUGUUUUUGUGAGCUCCAAAAGACUUGUCUCUGGAGAUGCAUUUAUAUUCCUAAGGGGCGAAAAUGGGGAACUUCGUGUUGGUGUUAGACGAGCUAUGAAACAGCAAGCCAACGUUUCACCAUCGGUCAUAUCUAGUCACAGCAUGCAUCUUGGCGUCCUUGCUACGGCAUGGCAUGCCAUUUCUACAGGAACUAUGUUCACUGUUUACUACAAACCUAGGAUAAGCCCUGCUGAGUUCAUCAUCCCUUAUGAUCAGUACAUGGAGUCUCUCAAGAAGAAUUACUCCAUUGGAAUGAGAUUCAAAAUGAGAUUUGAAGGGGAAGAAGCUCCGGAGCAGAGGUUUACUGGAACAAUAGUUGGCGUUGAAGAUGCUGACCCAAAAGGGUGGCGAGAUUCAAAAUGGAGAAGUCUCAAGGUGAGAUGGGAUGAGAAUUCUGCCAUACCUCGUCCAGAAAGAGUAUCACCUUGGAAUAUAGAACCUGCUAUGGCUCCUCUUGCUCUAAACCCUCUUGCAGUUUCCAGGCCUAAAAGGCCUAGGACAAGCAUUUUGCCCUCGUCUCCUGAAUCUUCAGUUCUUACUAGGGAAGGUUAUAUAUGUAAAGUAGGUGCAGACCCUUCAUGUUCAAAUGGGUAUUCGAGGGUCUUGCAAGAUCCAGAAUCAUCGAUCUUGAGAGGAAUUGCCACCAAUAAUGAUUUUGAUGCCAUGGAGAAGUCUGUAAUGUUUCCACCUUCACUGGAGGAAGAAAAGUUUGAUAUGCUUUCUGCUUCUAAACGACAUGAACUGGAGAGCUGGAUGACUUCAAGCAGGAGGGGGCCAACCUGCGCUGAUUUACUAUCAGGUUUCGGUGGAGAUACUGAUGUCUCCCGUGGGUUCAGCUUGUCCUCUGAACAAUCUUCUGCAGCUAAUCCAGCGAGGAAACAGUUAGUAGAUCAGGAAAGGAAAUAUCAUAUAAUCGGGAAUUCUUGGUCCAUGAUACCUUCUACUCUAUCGCUUAACUUGUCAGAAUCUAAUAGGAACACUUCUUUACAUGGAAAUGAUACGCACUCUCCGCAAUGUAUUGGUCAAUAUAGCGGGUCCAAUGAAUAUCCAGUUGUUCAUGGCCAGAGAGUUGAGCAGCCACAUCAGAAUUGGGUGAUGCGUCCACCCACGUCACCUCAUUUUAAUUUUCCUCAUGCAAGUGAGUCAAUCUCGAAGUCUGCCUUGGAGCAACAGCAUGAAGCCUCAAAAGCAAAGGAAGGCAACUGCAAGCUCUUUGGAAUUCCUUUGGCCAGCAAUCCUGUUAUGCCUAAAUUUGCUCUUUCAGUUGGAAGCAUGACAAAUGUGUUAAUAGACCAUAUGCAUUCCCCUUCAUGCCAAGCUCAUGGGUUUCCACUGGAUCAGCCAACAGAGACACUAAAUGGGGCAAACAAUGGAGAUGAUCUGGUUGCCAAUGAGCUGGAGAAGGAGAAGCUGUUCCAGAAUAGUCAACCAUAUAGCAGAGAAAUCCAACAUAGGGUGCAGGGAAGCUCAACUAGAAGCUGUACUAAGGUUCACAAGCAGGGGAUUGCGCUUGGUAGAUCUGUGGACCUAGCCAAGUUCAACAAUUAUGACGAACUGGUGGCGGAAUUAGAUCGAUUAUUUGAAUUUGGUGGGGAGUUAAUGAAUCCGAGGAGCAACUGGCUAAUUGUAUAUACUGAUGACGAGGGUGACAUGAUGCUUGUUGGGGAUGACCCGUGGCAGGAAUUUUGUGGCAUUGUUCGGAAGAUUUCUAUUUAUACUCGAGAGGAGGUUCAAAAGAUGAACCCAAGGACUAUUAGUUCCAAGGACGAAGACAAUUUGAUGGUCGAUGAAGGGGUGGUUUCAAAGAAAAUGACUUUGGACGUGCUGCCUUCAGCAUCUGUCGCUAAAAACUGUUAAAAUUUUUCUCAUCUCUGUGAGGUCUUUUAAAGUCAUUGGCUGAGCCUAAUCAAGUCGUUCCCUGAUGCUGAAAUUCGUUGCUGUCCACGGGGACUACACAUGAUCUUCUUUGUCUAUUUUCUCUGUGCUUCAGUGACCAUUUUCUGUCCGACAAAGCCGUAUUUGUAUCAUCAAUGGUAUCCUUGGAUUUGGCUUCAAGAUGCAUGGCUCCCUGAGGAGGCCAGAGGCAAAUCAAAAAGGAGAACAAUGAGGCUGUUUGUACUCAGCAUUUUUUAGAAGACGUCGAAGCUCGAGUGGCCAUGAGACUCUAGAUUGAGCAUCAAGUGCCACAACACUUUGAAUCUAGUAGUCGUGGCUGCGAGCUCGAGCUUUGCAGCUAUGGCGGCCAUGAGACGCCGGAUCGAGCAUCCCAUUGCCACGACACUUCCAUCUAGCAGCCAUGGGUGCGUGAGCUUGAAGCUCGAGCGGCCAUGGAUGCCGUGAGCGAGCUGGAGCUCUAGAUAUGGUGGGUUGAGCAUUCAUUGCCACGACGCUCCAGAUCUAGCGGCUAUGGCCACAAACCUUGAAAACUUACGUGACUUUGUUAGCAAGCUUGAGGCCACGAAUGAGCAGAGGUUUGUCUGAAGGUCAGCUAGUGGUUUUGAAGUUGAAGAUGCGUUUUAGGAUUUAAGAGGAAGAACUCUGUUCAUUUUUGCCAAAAGGUUUGAGUUGCUGCAGAUGUUGAUGGAGAGAAAGAGGGAGGGAGAGGGAGAGGGAGAGGGAGAGGGAGAGGAGAGGGGGGGGGAGGGGGAAGUCCCUUUGGACACUCCACAUCACCUUUUCUUUUUUCAAACAAAAGUCUAAACCAGCUUUUUUUGACUGCGUCAAGUUCACGUCAGCAAUUUCUAAUUGCAUCAAGUCCAUAUCAGCAAAAUCCUUCAUCGGAACUGUGCAAGGACGGAUGAUGGCACAUUUUAUGGACCAUUGUGAACCAAAAACAGUUGAUGGACAGUUUUGAAUUUCGAGCAAAAGUAGAGGGACUACUGGUGACAUUAUCCUGCCAUUUUGUCUUUCGCGUUUCUUAUUUUGUGUGUAACUGAGAAUCUGCGCAUAUAUGAACGUUGAAUAGGCCAGGGGAGUUGAAAUGGAUCGCUACUGGGGGAGCUUCCACAGCGAAUGGGCUUCACUUCUUAUAGAGUUGUUGUUGACUACCUCUUCAUGGUGAUUGGGUGCUACUUAAGCACAUCAUCCGCUUCUUGAGGAGAAUACUAGCUUGAUGCAGUGAGUUCUGGUUGUUGCUAUUGUACUUGUGGUGGAUGAAUGACUAUAUUUUGAUUGUACUGACAUUGGGGAUUUCAUGAUGAAUGGAAACGACGGCAAAUCAAUAUUUGCUUGUGGUUUUGACAAGGAAGGUGGUGCAGGAGUGAGGAAGAGUCGAAGCAAAAGAGAGCCAUGCUAUGCUAUGAGUUUUUUCUUUUUUUUUUGGGUAUCAUGUAAGUUUGGACAGACCCGAAGAACCUUCUGUUUUGGUUUUUCUGUUCGGUGUUCCCGUCGAUGUCUUACAAAGGUAGUCUUCUUAAAAUUUCCUGUAUUUCUCGGCUUCAGAUAAUUUCAGAUUUCAAGUGGUCGGCAAAGUGUAGGAAAAAAACAACACAGAAUUAUCAUUGCUCAACUCUGGUUGUAUAUAUAGCUUCUUUGGGCGUGUGAACCUAUAUGAAAAGAAUGUAUCUCUUUGUUCU